rnacentral:lncRNA from 1 species
GUGAAGACCACAGUUUCCUGUCGCGUGGAUGUGUUUCCUCUCUGGCCAUUGCCAUCCGCCCAAAUCUACAGACAUCCCGCAUGUUCCCGGGCUCGUCUCCCCAAUACAGGGCACCAAGGAUUGUCACGUGUGCUCAACAGUCCUCCUCGGCUUUCCAGAAGAGGCUGGAACAGGGCCCUUGAAGAUGUUUGUGGACAUCAGAGGGCCAAAGACGACACAAAGUGAAACUGGAGACACCGCCCCCCCUUGGCAUCAUGAAACUGCCGAUGUUACUGGCUCAUGCAUGGGAGACACCAGCAUACAAAGUCUUGACACCAACACCUCAGAGGGCUGUGUUCUGUCCCCGUGACCAUCAUCUAGUGCCUGGAAAGACUAGUGACAAGAACUUGUUGCCAACUUCCUAUUACCUCCCUAACAGUUGUGCAAUAAACCCCAUAGGUUAA